UUUUUUCAGUGUAGCAAUAUUUGAUAAAUCUGAUAGGAAAUUUUAGUAUUCUCUUUUUCAAACGCGGAACAUUUAAGUUUGAUAACGAAAAUCGGUAUAUUUUUACGAAUAGUCUUUUUAGUAAAUAUAUUCCAGAAAUUGAAAUUAUUAUUUCGUAAAUUGAUAAAUUUAUACGAAAAACCAGAAGUAAGUUAAUCCGACGCGCACUUCGUUAUUUACUAAAUUUAUAUGAAAAUUUGGAAAGAUUAUUUCGAAAUUUGUUAAAACUAUACUAAAAAUUCGAAGUGGUUCAGUCGUGACAGAAGACGACAGACACACCAAUAGAUUCUACGCCAAAGUUUUAUCUCUUUCUCAUCUCGAUAAUGGAUUUUGGUUGGGUAUAUUUUUGGAGAAUUUUUGGCGGUAUUUUUAAGAAAAAAGCCGAACACCAUAGGGUGAAAAAUAACACUUUUAUUUUUCAUCACCUAUAGGGGUGGCUUUUAGGGGUGCGAGCGCCGCAUGUGGAUAAUGGAUUUUGGUUGGGUAUAUUUUUAGAGAAUUUUUGGCGGUAUUUUUAAGAAAAAAGCCGAACACCAAAGGGUGAAAAAUGACACUUUUAUUUUCACCAUCUAUAGGGGUGGCUUUUAGGGGUGCGAGCGCCGCAUGUGGAUAAUGAAUUUUGGUUAGGUAUAUUUUUAGAGAAUUUUUGGCGGUAUUUUUAAGAAAAAAGCCGAACACCAAAGGGUGAAAAAUGACACUUUUAUUUUAAUCAUCUAUAGGGGUGGCUUUUAGGGGUGCGAGCGCCGCAUGUGGAUAAUGGAUUUUAGUUGGGUAUAUUUUUAGAGAAUUUUUGGCGGUAUUUUUAAGAAAAAAGCCGAACACCAAAGGGUGAAAAAUGACACUUUUAUUUUAAUCAUCUAUAGGGGUGGCUUUUAGGGGUGCGAGCGCCGCAUGUGGAUAAUGGAUUUUGGUUGGGUAUAUUUUUAGAGAAUUUUUGGCGGUAUUUUUAUGAAAAAAGCCGAACACCAAACGUGGAAAAAUGACACUUUUAUUUUCACCAUCUAUAGGGGUGGCUUUUAGGGGUGAGAGCGCCGCAUGUGGAUAAUGGAUUUUGGUUGGGUAUAUUUUUAGAGAAUUUUUGGCGGUAUUUUUAAGAAAAAAGCCGAACACCAAAGGGUGAAAAAUGACACUUUUAUUUUAAUCAUCUAUAGGGGUGGCUUUUAGGGGUGCGAGCGCCGCAUGUGGAUAAUGGAUUUUAGUUGGGUAUAUUUUUAGAGAAUUUUUGGCGGUAUUUUUAAGAAAAAAGCCGAACACCAAAGGGUGAAAAAUGACACUUUUAUUUUUCACCUUCUAUAGGGGUGGCUUUUAGGGGUGCGAGCGCCGCAUGUGGAUAAUGGAUUUUGGUUGGGUAUAUUUUUAGAGAAUUUUUGGCGGUAUUUUUAUGAAAAAAGCCGAACACCAAAGGGUGAAAAAUGACACUUUAUUUUAAUCAUCUAUAGGGGUGGCUUUUAGGGGUGCGAGCGCCGCAUGUGGAUAAUGGAUUUUGGUUGGGUAUAUUUUUAGAGAAUUUUUGGCGGUAUUUUUAAGAAAAAAGCCGAACACCAAAGGGUGAAAAAUGACACUUUUAUUUUAAUCAUCUAUAGGGGUGGCUUUUAGGGGUGCGAGCGCCGCAUGUGGAUAAUGGAUUUUAGUUGGGUAUAUUUUUAGAGAAUUUUUGGCGGUAUUUUUAAGAAAAAAGCCGAACACCAAAGGGUGAAAAAUGACACUUUUAUUUUUCACCUUCUAUAGGGGUGGCUUUUAGGGGUGCGAGCGCCGCAUGUGGAUAAUGGAUUUUGGUUGGGUAUAUUUUUAGAGAAUUUUUGGCGGUAUUUUUAUGAAAAAAGCCGAACACCAAAGGGUGAAAAAUGACACUUUAUUUUAAUCAUCUAUAGGGGUGGCUUUUAGGGGUGCGAGCGCCGCAUGUGGAUAAUGGAUUUUGGUUAGGUAUAUUUUUAGAGAAUUUUUGGCGGUAUUUUUAAGAAAAAAGCCGAACACCAAAGGGUGAAAAAUGACACUUUUAUUUUUUACCUUCUAUAGGGGUGGCUUUUAGGGGUGCGAGCGCCGCAUGUGGAUAAUGGAUUUUGGUUGGGUAUAUUUUUAGAGAAUUUUUGGCGGUAUUUUUAAGAAAAAAGCCGAACACCAAAGGGUGAAAAAUGACACUUUUAUUUUCACCAUCUAUAGGGGUGGCUUUUAGGGGUGCGAGCGCCGCAUGUGGAUAAUGGAUUUUGGUUGGGUAUAUUUUUAGAGAAUUUUUGGCGGUAUUUUUAAGAAAAAAGCCGAACACCAAAGGGUGAAAAAUGACACUUUUAUUUUCACCAUCUAUAGGGGUGGCUUUUAGGGGUGCGAGCGCCGCAUGUGGAUAAUAGAUUUUGGUUGGGUAUAUUUUUAGAGAAUUUUUGGCGGUAUUUUUAUGAAAAAAGCCGAACACCAAACGUGGAAAAAUGACACUUUUAUUUUCACCAUCUAUAGGGGUGGCUUUUAGGGGUGCGAGCGCCGCAUGUGGAUAAUGGAUUUUGGUUGAGUAUAUUUUUAGAGAAUUUUUGGCGGUAUUUUUAAGAAAAAAGCCGAACACCAAAGGGUGAAAAAUGACACUUUUAUUUUAAUCAUCUAUAGGGGUGGCUUUUAGGGGUGCGAGCGCCGCAUGUGGAUAAUGGAUUUUGGUUGGGUAUAUUUUUAGAGAAUUUUUGGCGGUAUUUUUAAGAAAAAAGCCGAACACCAAAGGGUGAAAAAUGACACUUUUAUUUUAAUCAUCUAUAGGGGUGGCUUUUAGGGGUGCGAGCGCCGCAUGUGGAUAAUGGAUUUUAGUUGGGUAUAUUUUUAGAGAAUUUUUGGCGGUAUUUUUAAGAAAAAAGCCGAACACCAAAGGGUGAAAAAUGACACUUUUAUUUUUCACCUUCUAUAGGGGUGGCUUUUAGGGGUGCGAGCGCCGCAUGUGGAUAAUGGAUUUUGGUUGGGUAUAUUUUUAGAGAAUUUUUGGCGGUAUUUUUAUGAAAAAAGCCGAACACCAAAGGGUGAAAAAUGACACUUUAUUUUAAUCAUCUAUAGGGGUGGCUUUUAGGGGUGCGAGCGCCGCAUGUGGAUAAUGGAUUUUGGUUGGGUAUAUUUUUAGAGAAUUUUUGGCGGUAUUUUUAAGAAAAAAGCCGAACACCAAAGGGUGAAAAAUGACACUUUUAUUUUCACCAUCUAUAGGGGUGGCUUUUAGGGGUGCGAGCGCCGCAUGUGGAUAAUGGAUUUUGGUUGGGUAUAUUUUUAGAGAAUUUUUGGCGGUAUUUUUAAGAAAAAAGCCGAACACCAAAGGGUGAAAAAUGACACUUUUAUUUUAAUCAUCUAUAGGGGUGGCUUUUAGGGGUGCGAGCGCCGCAUGUGGAUAAUGGAUUUUGGUUGGGUAUAUUUUUAGAGAAUUUUUGGCGGUAUUUUUAAGAAAAAAGCCGAACACCAAAGGGUGAAAAAUGACACUUUUAUUUUCACCAUCUAUAGGGGUGGCUUUUAGGGGUGCGAGCGCCGCAUGUGGAUAAUAGAUUUUGGUUGGGUAUAUUUUUAGAGAAUUUUUGGCGGUAUUUUUAUGAAAAAAGCCGAACACCAAACCUGGAAAAAUGACACUUUUAUUUUCACCAUCUAUAGGGGUGGCUUUUAGGGGUGCGAGCGCCGCAUGUGGAUAAUGGAUUUUGGUUGGGUAUAUUUUUAGAGAAUUUUUGGCGGUAUUUUUAAGAAAAAAGCCGAACACCAAAGGGUGAAAAAUGACACUUUUAUUUUAAUCAUCUAUAGGGGUGGCUUUUAGGGGUGCGAGCGCCGCAUGUGGAUAAUGGAUUUUAGUUGGGUAUAUUUUUAGAGAAUUUUUGGCGGUAUUUUUAAGAAAAAAGCCGAACACCAAAGGGUGAAAAAUGACACUUUUAUUUUUCACCUUCUAUAGGGGUGGCUUUUAGGGGUGCGAGCGCCGCAUGUGGAUAAUGGAUUUUGGUUGGGUAUAUUUUUAGAGAAUUUUUGGCGGUAUUUUUAAGAAAAAAGCCGAACACCAAAGGGUGAAAAAUGACACUUUUAUUUUCACCAUCUAUAGGGGUGGCUUUUAGGGGUGCGAGCGCCGCAUGUGGAUAAUGGAUUUUGGUUGGGUAUAUUUUUAGAGAAUUUUUGGCGGUAUUUUUAUGAAUA